rnacentral:rRNA from 1 species
CAGCAGCCGCGGUAACACGUAGGGUGCAAGCGUUAAUCGGAAUUACUGGGCGUAAAGCGUGCGCAGGCGGCGUUGUAAGACUGAUGUGAAAUCCCCGGGCUCAACCUGGGAACUGCAUUGGUGACUGCAACGCUGGAGUGCGGCAGAGGGGGAUGGAAUUCCGCGUGUAGCAGUGAAAUGCGUAGAUAUGCGGAGGAACACCGAUGGCGAAGGCAAUCCCCUGGGCCUGCACUGACGCUCAUGCACGAAAGCGUGGGGAGCAAACAGGAUUAGAUACCCCCGUAGUCCCUGUCUCUUAUAC